rnacentral:rRNA from 1 species
UAAAAAGCUUCAAACUGGGAUUAGAUACCCCACUAUGCCCAGCCUCAAACUAUGACUCAAUACAAAACACUUCCGCCCGGGAACUACGAGCUCCAGCUUAAAACCCAAAGGACUUGGCGGUGCCCCACCCACCUAGAGGAGCCUGUUCUAUAAUCGAUAACCCCCGCUUAACCUCACCACUUCUUGCCAAUACCGCCUAUAUACCACCGUCGCCAGCCCACCCCGUGAGGGAAUAAGUAGGCACAAUGAUCACCACCAAAACGUCAGGUCAAGGUGUAGCGUAUGAAGUGGAAAGAAAUGGGCUACAUUCUCUAACCUAGAGCACACGAAAAAUCAUAAGAAAUUAGAUUGGAAGGAGGAUUUAGUAGUAAAAAGAAACAAUAGUGUUCUUUUUAAAUUGGCCCUGGGGCGCGCACACACCGCCCGUCACCCUCUGCAGUCAAA